GAUGAACGCUGGCGGCGUGCCUAAUACAUGCAAGUCGAGCGAACGGACGAGAAGCUUGCUUUUCUGAUGUUAGCGGCGGACGGGUGAGUAACACGUGGAUAACCUACCUAUAAGACUGGGAUAACUUCGGGAAACCGGAGCUAAUACCGGAUAAUAUUUUGAACCGCAUGGUUCAAAAGUGAAAGACGGUCUUGCUGUCACUUAUAGAUGGAUCCGCGCUGCAUUAGCUAGUUGGUAAGGUAACGGCUUACCAAGGCAACGAUGCAUAGCCGACCUGAGAGGGUGAUCGGCCACACUGGAACUGAGACAGGGUCCAGACUCCUACGGGAGGCAGCAGUAGGGAAUCUUCCGCAAUGGGCGAAAGCCUGACGGAGCAACGCCGCGUGAGUGAUGAAGGUCUUCGGAUCGUAAAACUCUGUUAUUAGGGAAGAACAUAUGUGUAAGUAACUGUGCACAUCUUGACGGUACCUAAUCAGAAAGCCACGGCUAACUACGUG
rnacentral:rRNA from 1 species